rnacentral:lncRNA from 1 species
CCGGAGAGUGAUAGCAAAAAUCAAUCCUCUAAAUGUUACGGGGUUUUAUUUUUAAAAUGAAUUUGCAUGAUCCAGGAUCAGGAAAAAUCCAGCCUCUGAUCUCCUGUUUACCUGACACAUUCGUUGGUUCCUGUUUCUGCCCUCCUUGCUACACUGGAGAAUUGGGGGAGGGCCAGCAGGGGGCUUUCCACCCCUGAUAUUAGGCCAGUGGGAGGAGAGGCCGAGGAGCCAGCCCAGACCCCUGGAGGGGCAGGGGGCAGUCACUUGCAGUUCUCAGAGCCUCCACUGUAUGCUGAGCUCCAGUGCACUGUAUAUACUGGGGGCCUGUGGAAGUGGUCUUGGGGGAGAGUAGAGACAGGAACAAAUUGAACAGUACACCCAGCCCUGAAGUGUUACUUUCCUGUGGCUGCUACAAUAAAUUUGCACACGUUUAGUGGCUUAAAGCAACAUAGAUUUGUUAUCUUACAGUUCUAGAGGUCAGAAGGCUGAAAUGGGUCUCACUGGCUAGAAUCAAGGCGGCAGAGCUGGGCUCCUGCUGCAGGCUCUGUGAGGUAGUCUGCUCCUUUCUUUUUCCAGCUUCUAGAAGUGUCUGCUUUCCUUGAUCAAGGCUGUUGCAUCUUCAGCUGGAGCAUCUUCAGCUGGAGCAUCUUCAGCUCCAGCAGGCAGCAAGCACAUCUCCUCUGGCCUCUGCUUCUGCCAUCUCACCUCCUCCUCUGGCUCUCUUCCUCUUCUGCUUUGAAGGACCCUUGUGAUUAGAUCGGGCAUGCCUGGAUAAUCCAGCACAGUCUCCCCUCUCAAGAUCCUUAAUUUAAUCAUAGCUGCACAGUCCCUUUUGUCCUGUAAGAGACAUCUUCACAGGUUUUGGGGAUUAGAACCAGACCGUCUUUGGAGGGGCAUCCUUCUGCCUGCCAUAUGUGACUUGGGGGCAUGCGGGAAAUGGCUGGAGCGUAACCACAAAGCAUACAGCAUGCAGCCAAGCAACAUGCGACAAGAUGAAUCCACAAGUGCCGGGGAGACAACCAGUGAGGAAGAAGCCCAGGAGACUUCUUGGAGGAAGCGAGUUUCAAACCAGAGACAGGAGCUCACCCUGUCACCU